CUAGACGACCAUCUCUCAAAUCUACACCGAGUGAUUCCAACUCAAGCGUGUUGAUCAGUGACAUCUUAUGGGAAGUGCUGGGAUCCUCUAACCGAGAAGUUCGUGUAUGCGUCAAUCCCUGGAGACGAUUCAUACACAAGAACAGAGAAAAGGCUUAAGAACCCGGAGGUGGAGAACGGAUUUCAUACCGUACGCACUGAGAGCUGGGUUCCAAGAGCUCUUGUUGAGGCAACGCAAGAUGGAAGACGAGAUCCGAAGAUAUCUUCCAGGCAGCGUUGAGUGCGGCAAGGCUGUUGCUCAAGGACUCACGCCCUGUGGAUCGGAUAUAUCCAUUCGUUUGGGCGGAAUCGAAAUAUAAGUACUCGAUCCUGGACGUUUUUGGUUUCGUACUCGUCGAGUGG